rnacentral:rRNA from 1 species
AGAGUUUGAUCCUGGCUCAGAAAGAACGCUGGCGGCGUGGAUUAGGCAUGCAAGUCGAACGUGAACCUGUCUCUUUUUGAAUCUUCGGAAACAGGAAGAGAUAGAGGAAAGUGGCGUAAGGGUGAGUAAUACGUGGGUAAUCUACCCAUGAGAUGGGGAUAACAGUUCGAAAGGACUGCUAAUACCGAAUGACAUUAUUAGGUCAAAAGGCCUGAUAAUUAAAGGUGGUGCAAACUGCCGCUUAUGGAUGAGCUCAUGUCCUAUUAGCUAGUUGGUAGGGUAACGGCCUACCAAGGCAAAGAUGGGUAGCCGGCCUGAGAGGGUGUUCGGCCACAUUGGGACUGAGACACUGCCCAGACUCCUACGGGAGGCUGCAGUCGAGGAUCUUUUGCAAUGGGCGAAAGCCUGACAAAGCGACGCCGCGUGAGUGAUGAAGGCCUUCGGGUUGUAAAGCUCUGUUGUCUGUGAUGAAUGACUUUAUCUAAAUAGGAUGAAGUUUUGACGGUAGCAGACGAGUAAGCUACGGCUAACUCCGUGCCAGCAGCCGCGGUAAAACGGGGGUAGCAAGCGUUUUUCGGAAUUACUGGGCGUAAAGGGCGCCUAGGUGGUUAARUGGGUUAGAUAUGAAAUCCCUCAGCUCAACUGAGGAACGGUAUCUAAAACUAUUUAACUUGAGUACAGGAGAGGAGAGCGGAAUUCCCAGUGUAGCUGUGAAAUGCGUAGAUAUUGGGAGGAACACCGGUGGCGAAAGCGGCUCUCUGGCCUGAUACUGACACUGAAGCGCGAAAGCUAGGGGAGCAAACAGGAUUAGAUACCCUGGUAGUCC